rnacentral:lncRNA from 1 species
AUGGCACACUGGCAAAAGCUGAGAGUGUUAUCUCCUGCUGCACUACUGAGGCCCUGUCCACACGUAGCCGGGGAUCUGCCAAAACGUAGAUAUUUUUCUACGUUUUGGCCUGUCAUCCACACGAAAACGGAGUUUUUUCACACGAAAACGGAUCUUUUUAAAAACUCCGGCCAAAGUGAAGAUCUGCGUUUUCUCCGUUUUGGGUGUCUGCGUGUGGACGGACAAAACCGGAGUUUUAAGGUCCGCAACGUCACUUUCCACGACAAAAAAAUGCUGACAUCACGUGUGCGACCUGUGUUUACACUAGCCGACAGCAUGGAUGCCCUCAGAGCUGCGCUCGCUUUAUCAAUUGUCCAAGCGCUUUUUGCUUGUUUGUUUUUGCAAGCGGAAUUACUGCUCCUUGCGGAAGACCACAGACGAAGGACGAGGUUAAGAACGGGGGAAGUACUGCCGCCUACAGGUCUGGCAUGUCCUUAACAACGUAUUUAUCCGGGUACGUGUGGACAGAGUUUCUUUUUAAAACGAGGUGGUGUGGAUGCAAGUUUUUGGAGGGGCGGAUAUUCGUUAAAAAAAACGGCUACGUGUGGACUAGGCCUGAAUGUCUGAUCAUUGCCCCUGCGAGCAUGGUUCCCCUGAUUAGUCUGAAACUUGGUCAUUUAUCCUCUGCUGUCAAGACAAACUUAAGGAAUUUGGGUGUUAUUUUUGACCAAUCAAUGUCUCUUGAAGACCACUCAAAAACGUUGGUCUGAAACCGUUUUUACCACUUAAGAAGUAUCUCCAAACUGUGAAGGUUGGUGUCAAAACAUGAACUUGAAAUGGUUCUCCAUGCCUUUAUCUCCUCCCGUCUAGAUUACUGUAACACACUUUUCACAAGUUUUAACAAAAAAGCACUUGACCGCCUUCAGUUGGUCCAGAACUCUGCAGCGAGGCUCCUAACUGGAGCAAACAGAAGAGCACACAUCACUCCUAUUCUGAUGCCUCUGCACUGGUUACCCGUUAACUUUAGAGUCCUGACUAUAACUUUCAAUGUUCUCCAUGGUCAAUCUCCUCCCUAUAUUACAGAACUGUUAAAGCCUUGUGCUCCAACCCGAGCCCUCAGGUCCACACACCAAAUUUAUAAUUUUAUGACUUUAUUUUUUCUGAUGUUAAUCUAAUUCUGUUUUGAGAGCAUUUUGAUUUUAUGAUGUUAAUCUAUUUACGAUUUUAUGACUGUUUUACUUUGUUUUGAUCUAGGUGAAGCACUUUGUGAUUCUAUGUCUGUGAUAAGUGCUUUAUACAUAAAAUUUACUUACUUACUACUUACAAGGAGAAUUGAAAUGUUGAACUAAAGGUAUAGCUCUGCACCUCUGAAGUGUUUUUCUGUGAACAUAGCUUUUAACGUACCAUUUAUAGAUGGCUUUCUGAACAAACUCAGUUUGCAGAAAGAAAGAUUGGUUCUAUCCAGACGUUGGAAUUCAUGUCUAGUCUGAGUUUUGCCAUUUAUAAAGUGUUUGUUGUUUACACUAGAGUCUAAAUGUUACAGUAGUUCAAGCAAAUAUUAGUUUUUCAAUUUUUUACAACAUUUAUUUUCACAUUACAUAGUUAAAUUACAAGUGGUUAUUUUCAUGGUGGAAGCAAUGAAAGGGUUAUGAAUGCAUUUGCAUGAACUAAAAUGAAAUCUUUGAGAUUAUGAUAACUUUAUAAAUUAAAUUUGCAGCCAGGGCGAAGCUCAUUUUAAGAAGAAGCUGUUUAAGAAUGUUUUAUUGUGUUUAACCUGGUUGCUUUUACAUCCGGGAGGGGCUCUGAGUAGAUUAACUACUCCUCCACAUUGAGAGGAGCCAGUUGAGGUGGUUCGGGCAUCUGGUGUGCCUCCUGGAUGCCUCCCUGGUGAGGUUUUCCGAGCACUUCCAACCAGGAAGAGACCUAAAGGAAGACCCAGGACACGCCGGAGAGACUAUGCCUCUCGGCUGGCCAGUGAACACCUUAGAAUUCUUCUGCAGGACCUGAACCACAUGGCUGGGGAGACGGAAGGAUUGUUUAUUGCAUCUGUCCAUUUUGGGUUUUGUUUAAUGUAACGUUUUGAUUCAUGUGAAGCAUUUUGUCGUAUUUGUUUUGAGCAGAGCUAAAUAAUGCAAAUGUAAGAGAUAUUCAUAUUUCUUCUUCAUUAAGUCUAUAAAUCACACAAACUUGAGUUUUGGAAACAGCUAAUUUUCCUCGUCGAGUAAUAAUUUAGUGUUUGUCACCACGAGCAACACCUUAAAAUUCUGGAGAAUAGGAAAACUUCUCCUUUUAUUUGAUAUAAUUUACAUUAAUACUUUAGUGCUCCUUAAUCAGUCCAAACACCAAAUAUGUGUGCAUAAUUACUUUGCAACAAGAGCAUUUCUUCGCUUUUUCUGCAAUCUUGAUAAAUCCUGAUUAAGCUGUAAUUCUUUAUGGAUCCAUUAUCAGCCCCAGCUCUUCAGAGGCUUUUAUAGACUCUGUGUGUAUGUGUGUGUGAGUGUGAGUGCGUGCGUGUGUGUGUGUGUGAUCUGUCCUGAUUCCUGAUGCCAUCCAGCAUGAAUGACAUACAGUACGUUAGAAAUAAAAUCAACAGGGGCUUUUCUGGUCGCGGUCUCCUUGGGGUCCCUGUGCUCUGGGGCAGCUCCUGGAUCUCUGGGACUUGGAGCUCCCUUCGUCUCCUACACAUCUUUGGGGGGCAGAUCUGUGGUCCCUCACACUCUCUGUUGGACGCUCCUAUAGAGAAACCUUACAUAUACAAGCGCGUGUACACACACAGGUGCUCACAGAAGUAUGGACUUGGGCAUUUUCAACACAGGUCUUAAGGCUGUGGUGGGCACUUAAUGCACUGUGAGUUAUUAUCGUGUGAUUGUUCAGUUAAACAAUGUUGAUUAUAUAUCUCUUCAUCAAGUUGAUGCAGUGAUAGUUUGCUCCUGAUGUAUUGUUGUGUAUCCCUUUUCUGCAGGUCUAGGAGCAGACUCUUGUUCAUCAUUGAUUGUUUAUUUUUGUUGAACCCCCCCCCC